GUGGUUAAAAACUCUGGUAGGUAAAAAUAAACUACAAAAGUGACUUUAACACCCUGAAAACACAAUAGCUAACACUCAAACUGGGAUUAGAUACCCCACUAUGCUUAGUUCUAAACCCAAAUAGUUCAACCAACAAAACUAUUCACCAGAGUACUACAAGCAACAGCUUAAGACUCAAAAGACUUGGCAGUGCUUUAUAUCCCUCUAGAGGAGCCUGUUCUAUAAUCGAUAAACCCCGAGGUACCUCACCAUCUCUCACCACUCAGCCUAUAUACCGCAUCAGAUCAGCUCUCCAGCAGCAAAUAUUAUCAUUGUCCUUUUAAAAUGGAGUGGAUGCAAUAAAUGGUGUAUAAUGAGACUUAAUAAUAACAGGAAUGAUAGUUGACUUUCAAGCUAACCAUAUGCAAGACAUUUUAUAUGUAUAAACUCAUUUAAUCUUUACAACAAUCCUGUAGGUAAGCAUUAGGGAAACUGAAGUACAGAGAGAUUAAGGUACCUUCCCAAAGUCAUCUAGCUAGCUCAGCUGAGAUUUGAAUUUGCAGUGGGGGUGGAAUCCAUGCUUUUAACCGGUGCCCUAGACUAGUUCUCUGGGAGAUAUUUAACAAAGUCUUUGUUGAUAUUAUUUUGUGAACAAAAUAGAAAACUCUGGACUGAAUGACAGUGUAAUUUUGUGGAUUUGUAACUGGUUGAAUAUCUAUACCUAAAAUCUACCUGGCCAAUAUUAACUUAAGGGAAGGCUCCAGGACUCUGCAAUGACUUGGUGAGAACAUUGAUGACUUAGCCAUUAAAUCUAUAGAUGUUAUCAAACUGGGAUAAUACAUAUAUAGGAAGAGACAAUUGAUGUAAAUCCUGAGCCACCUUCCACACUAAAUAAAUUAGAAUUUCUGCGGCUGCUAUCUGGGAAUCCAUAUUUUUAAAGCUCCCAACGUGAUUCUAAUGUGCAGCCUCAGUUAAAACCACUAUUCUAGAAAAGUGGCCCAACUCCAACAUGAUCAGUUUCAACUAACAGUAAGUGGAGGAAGUAGUGAAAAAUGACGUAGGAAUAUUGAUAAAAUGUAAACUCAUAAUAUGAGUCAAAAGCGUGAUACGAUUGCUUCACACAAUCUUAGUGGU